rnacentral:rRNA from 1 species
GACGAACGCGGCGGCGUGCCUAAUACAUGCAAGUAGAACGCUGAAGGAGGAGCUUGCUUCUCUGGAUGAGUUGCGAACGGGUGAGUAACGCGUAGGUAACCUGCCUGGUAGCGGGGGAUAACUAUUGGAAACGAUAGCUAAUACCGCAUAAGAGUAGAUGUUGCAUGACAUUUGCUUAAAAGGUGCAAUUGCAUCACUACCAGAUGGACCUGCGUUGUAUUAGCUAGUUGGUGGGGUAACGGCUCACCAAGGCGACGAUACAUAGCCGACCUGAGAGGGUGAUCGGCCACACUGGGACUGAGACACGGCCCAGACCCCUACGGGAGGCAGCAGUAGGGAAUCUUCGGCAAUGGACGGAAGUCUGACCGAGCAACGCCGCGUGAGUGAAGAAGGUUUUCGGAUCGUAAAGCUCUGUUGUAAGAGAAGAACGAGUGUGAGAGUGGAAAGUUCACACUGUGACGGUAUCUUACCAGAAAGGGACGGCUAACUACGUGCCAGCAGCCGCGGUAAUACGUAGGUGGCAAGCGUUAUCCGGAUUUAUUGGGCGUAAAGAGAGUGCAGGCGGUUUUCUAAGUCUGAUGUGAAAGCCUUCGGCUUAACCGGAGAAGUGCAUCGGAAACUGGAUAACUUGAGUGCAGAAGAGGGUAGUGGAACUCCAUGUGUAGCGGUGGAAUGCGUAGAUAUAUGGAAGAACACCAGUGGCGAAGGCGGCUACCUGGUCUGCAACUGACGCUGAGACUCGAAAGCAUGGGUAGCGAACAGG